CCAUGGAGCAGCAUAGCUAAGGGGAGUGGGCCUUGACAUUGCCAGGAGAUAGGCAUCUAAGGGUCAGUGGUUAGGGAUUGAUUUAAGGAAAUGGAGUGGGGUGGAAUUAUAAGAGGAGUAUAAGUAGUGGCCAUUUUAGAUCUAGGGAUCACUUUAAUCUAAGUUGCACUUACCUGUUGUUGUGGCAGGAUUUGUGUGGCUUUUUCUUUUGUCUCCUCUGCAGGUUGUCAGCUAGAUGGAAGAUUGGCUGGAAGGAGGCCGUGCAGCAGUGCAGGAGAG